CGCACAGCACAGACUCGGAAAAGUUCACAACUGAUUGAUUGAUUGACUUAUGAUCGACGCACAUAUUGAGAAAGAUUUUUCAUACGUAUCUCUCUACAGAUAAAAUUGAUUUUCGGAUUGAUUGAUUGACUGUAUGGCUUAAAAUCAACACACAGAUGGUUAUUUGAAUGAAAACCAAAAGAUAUAAAGCAUAUAAAGAUGUUUUUCCUGAUUGAUUGACUGACUGAAGAUUAGCGCAUAGCUCAAACCCUUAAAGCUGGACAUCUAAAUUUUUCACAUCUGAUUGAUUGAUAGAAAACCCAACUGAUGAUUAACGUACAGCUUUAACGCCAGCAUAAACCCUGACAACUGAACAGCUGAAUGUUUUCACAGUAAAUACACACACACACACACACACACACGCCCAACUGUUAUGCAAAUAUUCAAAUCGUUUGCGUGAAACCCAUAAAAAAUUAUUUAAAAAAAAAAAACGACAAAGGCAAAUGACGACCCGAACGAUCCCCAUCAACUGAUCAUGUAACCCAAUUCUCUUGUUCUUUCGCAAUUUGUGGUAAGUACUAUAUAAAGUUAUUUAUAUAUAUAUGUAGAUGCUUUAACAUUUUCACUUUAAAUUUAUUUAAUUGAUCAUAAGUAAGAAUAAGGCAGCGACCUUUCGUAUUGACCCUUGCACACGGAGCACAACUUUGAUUUGCUCAAUUGGAAACGUGUCCCAACUUUUUGGCAUAUUAUUUUUAUUUUAUGUUCUCUAAUUUAUUUUCUAUAGAACUAAAUCGUUUAGCUGACAUUACUCAUCAUUAUCAGCUUUUAAGGCUUGUUUUUUCUUUGUUUUUCUAUGUAUUCAUUUGAUUCCCAGCGACUACGUAGAUAAGUCCCGCACAUAAUAUAUGUGUAGAUAUUUUCUUUGUGAAUCUAAAUUAACUAGCUAGUACGAAGUACAAAUAUUAACAGCUGUGCCUAUGCGUAUACCUUCCAGAUGAUAAUCAAUUGAGUUGUAUUGGAAUAAUCAGCCUAAAUAUUUAUAUCUUUAGGCAUUCAUAGAGUGAGGAUUAAGUUUGACUCUUCUCUUCAUCCGCUCUAUUAAAUUUUUGGCUCGCUAAUUGCGCAAAUUAGGUAAAUUAAAAUGAUAUAUUUUCUGGGUUCGGGCUCGCAAAGUACUUUUAUUAUAUAUUAGAUAUGCAUUAUUUGUAAUUGGACAUCAGCUGGGCAUUAGGAUUUUGAUAGAUUCAAAUUACAUUAGCAUUAAGAAAAGGUUUAGAAUUUAUAGAAAAUAGUUUCAUAAAUCAAAAAUUUAUAAAAUCAAAUUUAAUGGAAGAAUGUGUGUAUAUUUGUUACAGGGUAUUUCAUAAAAUAAAACUGUAUGACACAGGGUAUUUCAGGCUUUAAACCGAUUUUCACACUCUUAUAACGUAUUUCAUAGGGUGUUUCCCAAUAAAAGUUUAACAAAAUUAAGCACAGAGUGCUGCAUAGCCCAUAAUUUCUUAAUACACCAACAUAUCACAGGGUGUUACAAAGCACAAAUCAUACCAUUCAUUCGUUCUAUUGAUUACAUAACGCACAGGGUGCUUUAGUUCCAUAAAUUGUUUACAGGGUAUUUCAAAGCGCUCAAUAGCUCUCAAUGCACCAAUGUGCCACAGGGUGUCACGUAACAAUAAUCAUUCCAUCCAUGCAAUAGUGUAUAGGGUGCUUUGAAAGUUCUCAAUAGUCAAAUCUGAAUCAGUUUCGUAAUGCGUUAAUGUUUUUCCAACGAAGCUCAACUAAUUCAUUGGACAAUGAAUAUGCAUAUUUAUAAACAAAUCAAUGCAUGUAUUUUUGGCCAAUUCUAUGUAAAGUUUUGCCACUAAUUUGAGCAUAUUUAGGUAGCUAAAAUAAACGUAUUUCUAGCCUAUGUGUAUUGUUAUUAAAACACGCACCAAAGCGUGACAUUUUGGACUGGCACAGGGGCACUCAACAAAGCAGCAAUGAGUAAUUAUUAAAGAUCAGCCAAUGAUGAUAAGUUCAAUAGAGUGACGAUUGCCUAGGAAAAUACAAAAUAGACAUUUAAUGAACGAACACAAUGGAAUACAUCGAACACAAAACCGAUUUGUUUAUUUGAUUGAGUAAUAAUGGAGAAUGGUUGUAGAUAUAAUACAAAAAAAAGUGGGUCUUAAAACAGGGUGUUUCAUGGUUAAAUACGACUCGAUACAAAUAAAACAGGCCACAGUGUGUUUAGACUUGGAUGAUAAUUUUCAUAGUUAAAUUUAUCUAAGUUCACACUGUGAGGCCAACAUGGUGCUUCAUCUCAGAAAUACAUUGAAAUGAGCACAGGGUGCUUCAUAGAUAGACCCCCAAAAGUACUCUAAAUAACCACGGGAUAUUUCAUAUUGAUUAUUAUUCUCAUUAUACAUUGAAUUGAGCAAAGGAAGAUUCAUAGAGACUUUCCACACGGUACCAUCGAAUAGUGAAUAAUCAUUCAAUGAGCCACAGCGUGUAUCAUCUUAGUUAACUACUUAUCAUUAGUCAUUAAAGUUCCCAAAUGUAUUUUAAAUUGACUACAGGAUGCUUCACGCUUUUCAUUGCUCAUUGAAAGAACAGCGUGAUUCAUAUAGAAAGACUCAAUUUAAAAUUAAUCCCCAAUGUUUCAUCUCAAACAACUUCUCAUUAGUCUUUAAAUGUCAGUUAACAACUUCUCAUUAGUCAUUAAAUGUCAGUUAACAACUUCUCAUUAGUCAUUAAAUUAAGCGCAGGGUGUUUCAAUGUGCCACUGGCUGUAUCAACUUAUUUAAGUUCUCAUUGAGCACAGGGUGUUUCAAAGUGAAAGACGGUCAAUUACUCAUCAAAUUAAGCGCAGGGUGUCCAAUUACAUCCCUUUUAACUUCUCUCUGGUCAGUUAAUUGAGCACAGGGUGACAUUAAAUGGCCAUAGGACAGUUAAAGAAUCGCUUGAAUCGCCCACAGGGAACAUUUAAUCUUCUU
rnacentral:sRNA from 1 species